GUCCACGCUGUAAACGAUGGGUACUAGGUGUUCGGGGUAUUGACCCCCUGAGUGCCGCAGUUAACACAUUAAGUACCCCGCCUGGGGACUACGGCCGCAAGGUUAAAACUCAAAGGAAUUGACGGGGGCCCGCACAAGCGGUGGAGCAUGUGGUUCAAUUCGACGCAACGCGAAGAACCUUACCUGGGCUAGACAACGUCGGACCGCCCCAGAAAUGGGGCUUUCCCGCAAGGGACUGGCGGUUCAGGUGCUGCAUGGCUGUCGU
rnacentral:rRNA from 1 species